rnacentral:tRNA from 1 species
CGCCUCCGGGGCAGGUCAGAGCCCGCACGGCCCCUCACUCUCACCUGGGCUCCGGAGCCGUGUGCGCAGGUUCGAAUCCUGCGGGGGCACCCA